AUGGGGAACAGUGCAUCUGCGACAACCGUCGCCCCAACUGCAGAAGGAAAAACCGGGCAAGCUCCAGCGCCUGACACGAAGCCGAAGAAGAAGAUAUGCUGCGCCUGCCCCGACACAAAGAGGCUGAGGGACGAGUGCAUCGUGGAGCAUGGCGAGGAUGCGUGCGGGAAGUGGAUCGAAGCCCAUCGCCUAUGCUUGAGAGCCGAAGGGUUCAACGUCUGA
rnacentral:rRNA from 1 species